rnacentral:rRNA from 1 species
GACGAACGCUGGCGGCGUGCUUAACACAUGCAAGUCGAACGGAGUGGCGAACGGGUGAGUAACACGUGGGUGAUCUGCCUUGCACUUCGGGAUAAGCUUGGGCAACUGGGUCUAAUACCGGAUAGUGCAAGAUGAGCUCGCGGCCUAGCAGCUUGUUGGUGGGGUAAUGGCCUUCCAAGGCGUCGACGGGUAGCCGGCCUGGGAGGGUGUACGGCCCCCAUGGGACUGAGAUACGGACCAGACUGCUACGGGAGGCAGUAGUGGGAAAUAUUACACAAUGAGCGGAAGCCUGAUGCAGCGGCGCCGCGUGGGUGAUGAAGGCCUUCGGGUUGUGAACUCCUUUCGACAGGGACGCGGUACCUGUAUAAGAAGCACCGGCUAACUACGUGCCAGCAGCCGCGGUAAUUC